rnacentral:rRNA from 1 species
GAACGCGAACGGAACAUCUAAUUCGUUUCGAGUUCUCAGUAGAGUGGCGAACGGGUGAGUAACACGUGGAUAACAUACCUUUCAGUGGGGAAUAACAUCGGGAAACUGAUGCUAAUACCGCAGAUGUCAUAACAUUGAUUUUGAUAUGACUAAAGGGGGGGCUCCUUCGGGACCUCUCGCUGAUAGAUUGGUCCGCGUCCCAUUAGCUCGUUGGUGGGGUAAUGGCCUACCAAGGCAACGAUGGGUAGCCGGCCUGAGAGGGUGUCCGGCCACACUGGGAUUGAGAUACGGCCCAGACUCCUUCGGGAGGCAGCAGUCGAGAAUCUUCGUCAAUGCGCGAAAGCGUGAACGAGCGACGCCGCGUGUGUGAUGACGGCUUUAUGAGUUGUAAAACACUGUCAGAGGGGAAGAACAAGUGUACGAUCAAUACUCGUACGCUCUGACGUACCCUCAGAGGAAGCUCCGGCUAACUCCGUGCCAGCAGCCGCGGUAAUACGGAGGGAGCAAGCGUUGUCCGGAAUCAUUGGGCGUAAAGGGCACGUAGGCGGUUCGGUAAGUCGAAUGUGAAAUCUCAUGGCUUAACUGUGAAACUGCGUUCGAAACUACCGAACUUGAGUACUGGAGAGGUAUGCGGAAUUCCUGGUGUAGCGGUGGAAUGCGUGGAUAUCAGGAAGAACACCAGUGGCAAGGCGGCAUACUGGCCAAGUACUGACGCUGAGGUGCGAAAGCGUGGGGAGCAAAC